AAGGAGAAAGCCGAAAAGCCUUUUUAAAAAGAGUAGGUA
rfam:Kordia algicida OT-1 1103813601120 genomic scaffold, whole genome shotgun sequence.